rnacentral:lncRNA from 1 species
ACAUGGCAAUUCAAAAAUAUAACAAUAGCAAAUAUAAUAAACAUAAACAAAACAAAAUAAAAAACAAUAAAAUAAUAAAAACAAUUUAUGAAACACCCACGUAAGCAGUCACGAGCGCCAGUGACCGUUGCAAGCUGACCGGGGUGACGAACGUCACACAAGCCAUCACGGUCGUCACGCAAAUGCACAUGAUGUCCUUAACACCUUCUAU